ACCUGAUCGUCUUUAUUCCGUCCCUCACGUUACUCAGGAGAUGAAGGAAAAGGUCAGAGCGGUCGGGCGGCCGGGCUGCCUCACCCUGCGCCGGGCUGCACGUUAUCUCCACGCUUCAAGGGGAGCACAGCUCUGGAGAUGAAAGUAGUUUCAACUGGAGCGCUUGUAACCCCAUCACUCUCUAAGAUGAAGAACAAGGAGAAUAAAACUCGUCAGAAACCCAGCAGCCAAGGAAGGAAUUUUGGCCCUCAUGAUUUUGGCUGCAAAAAGUUGGUAAGAUAACUCUCCCUCCUCCCUUCCCAUUUUCAGCUCCUUUGGGGAAGAGGAAAACCCCAGACACCAGCUUUCUGGUAACAUAAGACGCUUCCCAUAACCACGUACUAUAAAUUAUAAUAAGCACGACCCUUCUUUUUCUCUUCCUCUUUGUUUCGCUCCCUGAGCAAUUCUGUAAGA